UCCUCCCUCCGCCGCCCACCCAGACGACGAUCACCAAUUCCUUCCUUCACCCCCCUUCUCGUGCCCCGUCCACCAUCGGAUCCGAUCAUUGCAGCAGGUGGCCCGACGCCGGCGACUGCACCGUCCAUCCCAUCUCAGCUGCGCAGAUCUGGACAGUCAUGGCGACCGCGCGCGACGUCGCCACCGGCGGUGGGUUGCGGUCAUGGCGACCGCGCGCGAAGUCGGGGAGGUUGUCCAUAAGCUCGCCUCCGAUCGCGCCAGGCCCCGCGAUGAAGGGGUUAGGCUGUUGGGGACGUGGCUGCAGGGCGAUCGCGCCCUGACCUUCUGCCGCCUCCUCGCCCGCAACACCGUCAUGGCCAAGCCAGCCCAACUCGCCUCCAGUACACUCACGUCCCACCUCUCGGCUUGCUUCUUCCAUUUCCAUCUCCCCUCUGACGUUCUUUUUGUUAGCAUCAAUUUACCAAUGUUGCAUGCUAAUGCUAGGGAUACUACAUAAGAUGAUUCUAUCAAGGAGCAAGGAGAAGGUGACUCUAUAAUUUAAGAACAAGGAGAGGUGGCCUUGUAAAAGAAGAAGCUGACGAACACCAAGCUUACAACUGAAUCUGUCUAGAUGAAGAAGAAGCAAGGCCCUAAGGUGGAUUGCUCUUAGAACAAUAUUAACAAAUAACUAGAGGCAUGGAUAACGUGGUAUUCUGAUGAGCUAGGGCACACAAGUGCUGAGCUGCUAGGUAUGAACCGAAACGUGCCCACACCGUGCACACGUGCAUGCGAGGAGGGUUGGCUGAGAUUUGCGCCUCCAUUCUUGGCAGUGCUGGUGCACAUCGACGUAUCGGAGGGCAUGAUGUUUCUCUUCGUGGGCAAUUCCAUGUUUGUUGCAUAUUUCAGAAAAUACUUGGAGUACGCAUAGCUCCAUUUCUUCCAAGGGAAUUCCAUAUUGGGUGUUGAUCUUCAAGAGAUUCAGGGACUGCCUCCAUAACCUUGACGACCGACCCUUCCUCCUUCACCCAUGUGGCUGCUCCCCGCUGUAGAGACGGUGAUUCUGCUUCCGUGGCUGAAGUGCCGGCGACGAAGAAGGUCUCCUCGAAGUAAGGGACGGUCAACAACGAGUUCCUCGGUCACAAGAGCUCCAAAAAGUGUUGCAUCUUCCACAAGGAGACGCCCUUCAAAGAGGACUGCAAUGACAACGAGGCGGAAGGCGGCCACCGGAAUCUGCGGGUGGACGGCAGCUAGGGGACAAGCGCGGAAGGGCGGCUGCUCUUCCUCUACCGUGGCCAUGAACACGACCAGAGACACCACCACUAAGCUCUGCAACAUUCCCAUAUACAGGCCUACAAGGUCUGAACAGAGAAGUCUUACCUGCCACAAAACAAGGUAAAGUUGCCUACAUAGAGCUUUUCCUUGUCCGUUGAGUUUACCAAAAUAUUGCUAUGUUCUGAUCAGUGAAAAGCACCCUCUCAAACUUGGAUGUGAGUAUAGCAUGUUGCUCUAUUGAAAUACUAAGGGAAACAUUUCAAAGCCACUCUCCUUAAAAGCUGGAUGUUUCCUGAUUUAUUGUUACAUCUUUGAGAAAAUUCUUCAAUGAUGCUUGCGCAGACAAAGGUCAAGAAUAGCAGUGAAAGUGAAGUCCACAAGUUGUAAAUGGAGGUGAUAAAAGAAAUGCAUUUUUUGUAUGUUAUGUUUAGAGAUUCAUGCUUACCAUCUUAUGUAAGUUCGUAAAUUAUAAUGCGAUAAAAGAAAUGUGUUUUUCGUAUGUUAGUGUGAAGGGGUAGAUUCACAUUGCUUAUUUCUAGAAACUUCUACGAAACUAAACUUCUGUAUUUAACAUUUCAUUAGAGAAAUGCCAUAAGCAAAGAUAGUUGACCA